rnacentral:rRNA from 1 species
AUGAACGCUGGCGGCGUGCCUAAUACAUGCAAGUCGAGCGAACAGAUGAGGAGCUUGCUCCUCUGACGUUAGCGGCGGACGGGUGAGUAACACGUGGAUAACCUACCUAUAAGACUGGGAUAACUUCGGGAAACCGGAGCUAAUACCGGAUAAUAUAUUGAACCGCAUGGUUCAAUAGUGAAAGACGGUUUUGCUGUCACUUAUAGAUGGAUCCGCGCCGCAUUAGCUAGUUGGUAAGGUAACGGCUUACCAAGGCAACGAUGCGUAGCCGACCUGAGAGGGUGAUCGGCCACACUGGAACUGAGACACGGUCCAGACUCCUACGGGAGGCAGCAGUAGGGAAUCUUCCGCAAUGGGCGAAAGCCUGACGGAGCAACGCCGCGUGAAUGAUGAAGGUCUUCGGAUCGUAAAACUCUGUUAUUAGGGAAGAACAAAUGUGUAAGUAACUAUGCACGUCUUGACGGUACCUAAUCAGAAAGCCACGGCUAACUACGUG